rnacentral:lncRNA from 1 species
AUGGAGAGCAACCGGAGAUCCCAAGGAGUGAGAUGGAUUAGCCGCUGCCGCUGGCGCCACCCUUGCUCUCUUGCUGCUUCUUUGUUAUGGGAUGACGGUCGAACUACACAGCUUGAAAUGUAGUGAAUCCCGGUGGAAGUCGCUUGCUCGUUUGCCAUGUCUUCCGAAUUCUUCCGUGAGGUGUAUGCACGGAAAUAGAGCAGUAUUCCACGAGUUGGUGCUUUGGCUGUUCUAGACCCGGGAUAUAAGAGCUUGCUGUCAUGAGAGAGAGGGGGAGAGAAGGGAGGAAGGGAUUGGGUUGUUCCAAGAUCAUUUGGCGUCAGCUGGGAUUAGAUUGGAGGUAGUUGAGACUCGAUCUCUUUCAUUUGCUUCAUGAAAAUGAUUAAAUCGUAAAUAAUUAUUCUGAAGAGAACAAAUAAAUAUAAUUUGACUUGACCUAUGAAUAUAACAAUCUAAAUCCUAUAACUUUGCUCCAACUACUCCAGGAUAUUCAAAUUUAGACCUAACCUGUUCUUUGAUUAUCUCAAUUUAAGCAAGAAAAUGGAUGGUAGUUUCAAGAUGUCUAGUGUGCUCCAAAACUUGCUGUUUUCUGAUCUUAUUAGAUGUAUCGAUACUAGAUUUGUAUGAAUCAUCUGUUUCCGCUAAAAAAA